rnacentral:tRNA from 1 species
GUGUAGCUCAGUGGUAGAGUGUGUGCCUGGCACAUGUGAGACUCUGGGUUCAAUUCCCAGCAC